ensembl:lncRNA
CUGGGGCGGCCCUUCCCAUUUACCUGUCUUAAAUAUAGGACCUGAAUAAAUGGACAAACAUGAGACAUCAGAGUGCUUUAUAUGCAGGGAUGGUGAACUUAAAGCCAGUGACCCGCUGAGGAAUUUCUGCGACUGCAAGAAUUUACUUGCCCAUCACGUGUGUCUGUCCACAUGGAUCCAGAGGGGAUGUGGGAGUGAAGACAGAGUGCGAUGCAUCAUCUGCAAGGCCAAGUACCAGCUGCAGAGGAGUUCCCCGUGGCGGUCGGUGAGCUUCCAGUGGCAGACGUGGCUCGUGCUGAUCACGGCGACCGUUUUGAUGAGUCUGGUGCCCUACGCUGUUUACUGCAUGAUGACAGCCUUCACCAACCCUCCUCCUCCCAGCACCUUUAAAGUGGCAGCAAUUUCCUUCGGUAUACUGACAGAGACCCUGCUCAUCAAGUGUCUGUGGAGUUACUUCAGCUCUCGGUACCGGCAGGCUGCGCAGAACUCCUUCGUAGUCCAGCCCAGAGGCUCGACGGAAGACAGAAGCAACCCCGGCCUCUGGGAUCGGCCUGAGGCCGCCUCAGCAGGUCACGCUUCAUCAGCAGCCUCACCCACUCACGUGGAGGAGAGGAAAGUGGAUGUGUUGAAGAGUGGAUGCCUCAGCCUUUUCUGAACCAACAACAGAAGGAGUUUACAGAUUACAGGGUGAGAGUAAAUCCUUGGGGAAUUAGAUGUGUCUGAGAGCCAUUGAAGUUAUCACAUCAGUAUAUCAGUGUGGCAUUUAUAAGAACUUACACUUUAAAACCUAUUUUCGAGGUGUCAAAUAUUCUUGUUUUCCUUACACUCUCACUCGUUUCAGUGGAUAUAUUCACACAUGUUGCAAAUUGAUAACAAGGAAGAGAAUGCACGCAGGCAGCAUGAGUGUAUUCAGGCUCAGAGAGGGGAAAAAAAAGCCUGAAAUUACUCCCUUUCCUUAAUGAUGCCCACACAGAGACAAUGGGGCGCCGCUCUGAUUAGUGUCACCUGUCCUUGUGCAUCUCAUCAGCUCCAUUAUGGCUCCAUCUCCCAUGCUUCUUCUGCUAAUUGAAUAGCCUGUGAAGUGGUGACGAGGACGGGGGCGAGAGCAACGUCUGUCCCGCUGCUGCUUCAGAAAUGAGACUAAAGCUUCCCAGAGAGACACUAGUUCUUAAAACAUAAACCAUUAUCAUACAGACAGAAAGCGUGCUAACAAGUCGCUCUCAUGUUAUAUUACCGUCACACUGUCUGCACACUAUUUUCACCUAUAACUGCUUGGAAUUAACAUUUUGGGCCAUUUGCAGCAAAAGAGAUGGAUGAGAGGAAUGAUAAUCAAACACACAUUGUUUAUUAAAUAUAAGAUUAUUGCUGGUUAGGUUAGCUUAGCACAAAGUCUGGGAACAUGGAGCCUAGCUUUGAUGAAAUCUGCAUACCAGGUGAGCUCUGAAGCUCACCAUCAACCCCCGAUCUGUUGUGUCUUCGGUGUCUUCCAAAACUGACGUUGUGGGCAGUUGAAAGUGGUGUAAGACAGACAUUUAUCUAUCAAGUGCAUCUUUUUAGCCUACCGUUCCUGAUGACUGUUACCAAUCAGCUUUGCAGCUGCUAAAUGAAUCAUGUAAAAUAUUAAAUUGCACCGAUUCCCUUCUUCCAUGGUUGCAGCCAGCGGGUCCUGGUGAAUAAACUGCUUUUUCUGGAGGAGAAACCUAACAUGUUGAUUGCACAAUUACCUUGCUUGGUAUAAGUUUGCAUUACUUUCAAAUAAAGUUUCCCAUAUCAGCUUCCCACAAAACCUUUAGAGUAUCACUUUGAAUAGUUUACAUCAGAACAACCCAGUCAGACAUCAGCAGGUGCUCCUUCUUUAUUCAAAGCAGCUGUCAGUCACAGCAGUCUGUAAUGAGGACAAAUAAUCUUAUUAUAGCAUCAAAUAACUCAUAAUCAGCAAACUGAUAACAAAAAAUAUCAACAUCAGUGUUCUGACAAGUGCCUACAAUAGGAACUUAUUUUUUUAGGGGGGGGGGGGGCUUAAUUGAAGGUUAUAUAAAGGUUAUUCCUGGAGGUAAAACUACUGAAAUUUUGGGAGAUUGUCUGGGAUUCAUUUACAUGUUUUCAGCAGUGGGAGAAAUGGAAGCUCCCAGGAGAGUAUUACAACUCCACUCAGAAGGACUCUUAACCUCCAAGCUGUCACCCAAGUGAUGACACGUUGAUGACAUCAUCCAGGUUUUGAGUGGAGUUCUCCUUCAAUAGUCACUCAAAUGUGCUGUAAAUUGGUGAUCCUGUAUAAAUGUGUUUCAUAUAUAGGAAACUGUCUUGUAUAUUAAACAGUCAAAUAACUGAGUGUUGUCCUUUGUUAUAUCACUGUGGGGGGGGAUUUUCUAAAGUAAAUGAGAGUUAUUAAAAACUGAGGCGGGCCUCUAUCUGA